ensembl:lncRNA
UUCUUUUUGUGUCUAGAUAUCCAGCAUGGUCUUGAAAUCGUCUGACCUGCAGUCUCCCUCCAGUCUCACUCCUCAGAGAGUCUCUGAGCUUGGCCCUUUUCUUCCCCUUCUGGGAUCCAGUGUCCUACAGCAGCUUACCUCAGCCCAGCUCAUGCCUGCUCUCAGCACCCUCGCCUCUGUGCCUUUUACCCCUGCACAGGCAAGUGUUAUCAUCGACAAGAUCUCUGCCAAUCUUAGUUUGGCUCUACCAGGCUCUGAGCAUUUGUCUAUGCUGGGAUCUCUUGUGAGUGGAGUAAAGGUGGAGACUCUAUGGACUUUACCAACUGAUGUUCUGCUGGAAGCGUUACCUGCUAUAAGCCUUCAGACACCUGGGCUCACCCCUCCACAGGUCAACACUAUCAUCUCCAAACUCUGGGGUUUUAGUUCUGUGUCCCAGUGGAUGGAUAAAGUCAGUCCUUUGCUCUCUAGCACUCCACUCCUCAGUGUGAUUCCCCAAGUCCCUCUGCUCCUGAUCAGAGACACUGCUGUACACACUCGCCUCUGGAACACACAGCAGGCUAAAGUUCUCUUUAAAGAGGCUGUCGUCUCUCACUCAAGUCUCUCACUACAAGAAUUUCUGUAAGUUUGGCCUUUAGGGAUUUGUGAGUUGAUUUUGUGAUUAUAAAUAAGGUCUACAAAAUGAAUCAUGACACUGCUCAGUGAAGUACUUAAGUAUGAUCAUGUUUUCCUUUCUCUGACAUGACAGAUCUCUGGGGACUCUGGCUACAGGAGUGAGUUGCACAGACCUGAGAAGAUUGUUCCAGAAACUGGCAUCUCUGUCUCCUCUACGUGACAUUAUGACAUUUCUGAGAGAGCAGCCUGUGCCACUCCACCCAUCGCUGGUAUCUAGUAAACCUACAUUCAAAUUCAGGACCUAAAUGAUACAGAUUACCAGUUUGGUUUAGUUUCUUCUUUAUUUAGUCAAAUCCUCACUAAGGUCAAUCUUACUCAAGGUUCACAUAAUCUUUAAAAUUUUGUGUAGGCCUACCUGUAAAUUGAGUACAGAUGUCUUGAAUCUUGAAUUAAUGGAUUGAGUAUUGCACAAACACUCUCUUUACAGAAGUUGUUUUUUCUUUUCUGUACUACAGAAAAAGUGUGUAUUUGAGGAACUGUAUAGGUUUGACUUCUUCACAGAAUUACUUGGAGAUUUGGGUUCUCAGAUUGCUCUGUCACUUCCGUGAGUCAAAAUUAAAUUCAGUCAAAAUACAUUUACAUGUGUAUAAAAUUGUCUUCACUUGUUGAAUUUCAUGCUAUUGUCUAAAGGCUGAGUACCAUUAAGAAAUUUCCACCAGAUAAGAUGGAUUCCCUGAGGAAAAUUAUAAUACAGGACCCAUAUUACUUCCUACUGCUUCCCAGCAUCAAACAAGCUGUCCUGGUGGACAAGAUGGUUCAACGACUGGUAAAGAAUAUAAUUUUACUGUCUAGAUGUCAUGCACAUACUUUUGUUGUGGAUCAAUCCGGUGAAUGAUUUUGACAAGGUUAUUAACCGUUUCUAUGUACAUUUUGUUUAACCUGCACCUUUUAAAAGAGCUUUAAUGUCAAAUUGACCAGUUGGUAUAGUAACCUCUGUGAAUCUCCAACCACUAUUUCUUUGAUUUUCUCAUCAGGAUAUGUACACUGGCCUGUACACUGAAGAGGAGUUUCGUUCGCUAGGCAUCAUGGCUACAUUUGUGACAGAUGAAAUGUUUUUGAAAUUGGAUAGGAGCUUUUUUGUUGAUAGUCUGGAGUUCCUACAAGGAUUCUGCUACAGUCCCAAUAAAAGAGACCUGGUGGCAAAGAUGCUAGAGGAA